GACGAACGCUGGCGGCGUGCCUAACACAUGCAAGUCGAGCGGAGUAAGUAAGAGGAAGUUUUCGGAUGGAAUCUUAUUGAUUUAGCGGCGGACGGGUGAGUAACGCGUGAGCGACCAACCUUGCACAGGGGGAUAACGGACCGAAAGGUUCACUAAUCCCGCAUGAGAACACGGUGUUGCAUGACAGAGAGGUGAAAGGAGCAAUCCGGUGCAAGACGUGCUCGCGGCCGAUUAGGUAGUUGGAGGGGUAACGGCCCACCAAGCCUAUGAUCGGUAGCCGAGCUGAGAGGAGGAUCGGCCACAUUGGAACUGAGAUACGGUCCAAACUCGUACGGGAGGCAGGAGUGGGGAAUAUUCGGCAAUGGGGGAAACCCUGACCCAGCAACGCCGCGGGAAGGAAGAAGUAUCUCGGUAUGUAAACCUCUAUCAGCAGGGAAGAUAGUGACGGUACCUGACUAAGAAGCCCCGGCUAACUACGUGCCAUCAGCCGCGGUAA
rnacentral:rRNA from 1 species